rnacentral:rRNA from 1 species
AGUGAACGCUGGCGGUAGGCCUAACACAUGCAAGUCGAACGGCAGCACAGAGGAGCUUGCUCCUUGGGUGGCGAGUGGCGGACGGGUGAGGAAUACAUCGGAAUCUACUCUGUCGUGGGGGAUAACGUAGGGAAACUUACGCUAAUACCGCAUACGACCUACGGGUGAAAGCAGGGGAACUGCGGGCCUUGCGCGAUUGAAUGAGCCGAUGUCGGAGUAGCUAGUUGGCGGGGUAAAGGCCCACCAAGGCGACGAUCCGUAGCUGGUCUGAGAGGAUGAUCAGCCACACUGGAACUGAGACACGGUCCAGACUCCUACGGGAGGCAGCAGUGGGGAAUAUUGGACAAUGGGCGCAAGCCUGAUCCAGCCAUACCGCGUGGGUGAAGAAGGCCUUCGGGUUGUAAAGCCCUUUUGUUGGGAAAGAAAUCCAGCUGGCUAAUACCCGGUUGGGAUGACGGUACCCAAAGAAUAAGCACCGGCCAACUUCGUGCCAGCCGCCGCCGUAA